UGGACUACAAAACUUCGGGCAC
rnacentral:piRNA from 1 species